AUCUAAGCAUGAAGCCCCCCUCAAGAUGAGAUUUCCCAACUUCGGUUAUAAGAUCCCUCAAAGAUGAUGAGGUUAAUAGGUUCGAGGUGGAAGCGUAGCGAUACGUGGAGCUGACGAAUACUAAUCGGUCGAAGACUUAAUCAAUUU
rnacentral:rRNA from 1 species